UGCAACCCAGCACUUGUUAAUAUAUUGUUAGAUAUUAAUGAUGUUGUUGUUGCA
rnacentral:pre_miRNA from 1 species